AGUUCCAGUCACCAGAGCGUACCACACUGUAGAAUUGACACUUCUCAGCCGGAAAGCAAUUCUUACACCGUUCUUUUGGAAUUAUUCUUUCUCGUCUGGACGAAAAGAAACGACCUAGAAAAUACACCCCAUGAUGAUUCCAGCGACAAAGACCAUGCUAUUCCUACUGCUGAUCAUCAGCUGCCUUGCCCCAGAACCCUGCCUGAGUGCUCCUACCGCUCCGGGAGACACAGACACCACAAGCGACGCCAGCACCACCACCACUACCACCUCAGCCCCACAGAUCACCAGGUUUCUCAUACCGAUCGUGAACAUCAAACUCAAGCAAGUUGAUUGGUGGUCGAAGUGAAAAAACCUCAAAGAAUACUUUUCUCAUCUUGACAGUGAAAAUAAUUACUUUUGAGCUUAUUUAAAAACAUACUUUAUGAAACGAACAGUUGAUUACUUUUGUCCUUCCUUCUCACAGUUCUCUUAGGUUCAUGAUAUUAUGAUGUGCACAAUAUUAGUAAAAAGCAAGUUGACUGGUAGUCGAAAUGACAACAAAAAUAAUUUUCUCUUCUUACAAUUGGCAUUGGCAAAAAUUAGUGUUCCUGUACAUGAUAUAGAUACACAAAAUGUAUAUACUUUUUUAUUAAAUACCAUCUUGAUAAUUGUAUUAGUCCUUCUUACUCAUUGAGCUAUUAUGUUCAUGGUGUGAUGGGCACGAUGAUCUUCAUUGAUUGUGCUGGGAUUGUAUGAAUGUCUGCGUAUGUGUGUGCGUUAAUCUAAAGAGCCUAUUCUUGCGCUUUUUUAUCGAGGAGAAAUGUGGUUUUCUUAGACAGUGUCCUUAUUUACGUUCAUUCUGUUUUACUUUACAGCCUCUGCCGAGAGGAGGAGUAAACGUCGUUCUCUUGUA